rnacentral:rRNA from 1 species
GGACUACUGGGGUAUCUAAUCCCGUUCGCUCCCCUCGCUUUCGCCCCUCAGCGUCAGGGGCCAGCCAGGACACUGCCUUCGCCUUUGGUGUUCUUCCGGAUCUCUACGCAUUUCACCACUCCACCCGGAGUUCCAUGUCCCUCUCUGGCCCUCAAGUCGCGCCGUCUUCGAGGUCCUCUCCCGGUUAAGCCAGGAGCUGUCACCCCAAACUGACGCGACCGCCUGCGGGCGCUUUACGCCCAAUAAAUCCGGACAACGCUUGCCCCCUACGUAUUACCGCGGCGGCUGGCAC